rnacentral:lncRNA from 1 species
AAAGAACUGUCUAAUAGUCCUCCACAGUGACAGGGAAUGCAUACUUUUCUUCCCAUGUUAGUGGAAUCCUUAGUGAAUAAAUGCAGUUUGCAUGGUACGGGAUCCAUGACGGGAUAACAAAGGGGCAAGCCAGUUUCGAGACGGAAAGUGUGACUGGGUCCUGUCCCCUCCUACUCACUCAUUCAAAUGACUGGCGAGAUUCCUUCACAUGCAGAAAAUCUUCAUCAAUGUUGGAAAUUAGGAAUAGGUAUCUAAUACUGAUCCGAGUACUCAAUGUUAUGGAGAGAGGUGGUUAGAGCAUAGGCUUUCGAGGUGGGUAGAUUGGUUUCAAAACCCUGGUUCAAAUUUCUUGACAGGCUGUGUGAUUCUGGGUAAAUGCCACCUAGCCCAGUGCCUGGAUUUGGUCAGGAACACUCAAAAAAUGGUGGGUGUGA